AUCCAGUUGACCAGUCUUAAAUAGGACGAAACAAGUGUCCUGUAU
rfam:Schistosoma curassoni strain Dakar, Senegal genome assembly, scaffold: SCTD_scaffold0001296